rnacentral:rRNA from 1 species
UGGGCGUUAAGUUGCAGGGUAUAGACCCGAAACCCGGUGAUCUAGCCAUGGGCAGGUUGAAGGUUGGGUAACACUAACUGGAGGACCGAACCGACUAAUGUUGAAAAAUUAGCGGAUGACCUGUGGCUGGGGGUGAAAGGCCAAUCAAACCGGGAGAUAGCUGGUUCUCCCCGAAAGCUAUUUAGGUAGCGCCUCGUGAAUUCAUCUCCGGGGGUAGAGCACUGUUUCGGCUAGGGGGCCAUCCCGGCUUACCAACCCGAUGCAAACUGCGAAUACCGGAGAAUGUUAUCACGGGAGACACACGGCGGGUGCUAACGUCCGUCGUGAAGAGGGAAACAACCCAGACCGCCAGCUAAGGUCCCAAAGUCAUGGUUAAGUGGGAAACGAUGUGGGAAGGCCCAGACAGCCAGGAUGUUGGCUUAGAAGCAGCCAUCAUUUAAAGAAAGCGUAAUAGCUCACUGGUCGAGUCGGCCUGCGCGGAAGAUGUAACGGGGCUAAACCAUGCACCGAAGCUGCGGCAGCGAACGUAUCACUUAAAGCGAUUCAGCGGGUUACGAUUGACGGAGCGAAGCGACGUCAAAGCGUAUACAAAGUCGAGUCGGUUUAAGGAUACGUUCGUUGGGUAGGGGAGCGUUCUGUAAGCCUG